AGCUUGCUCUUUAUCAAAUCCAGUGGCAAACGGGUGAGUAACACGUAAACAACCUGCCUUCAGGAUGGGGACAACAGACGGAAACGACUGCUAAUACCGAAUACGUUCCACGGGCCGCAUGACCUGUGGAAGAAAGGGUAGCCUCUACCUGUAAGCUAUCGCCUGAAGAGGGGUUUGCGUCUGAUUAGGCAGUUGGUGGGGUAACGGCCCACCAAACCAACGAUCAGUAGCCGGUCUGAGAGGAUGAACGGCCACACUGGAACUGAGACACGGUCCAGACUCC
rnacentral:rRNA from 1 species